rnacentral:lncRNA from 1 species
CACACACACACACAAGGCAUCUCGGGCCAAAAACUCGGCGGGCUCAGCAGGCUCCGCCCCCUUCACCUCCGUCCCGCACUUGGCUCCGCCCACGCUGGUCCAGGGCCCCGGCCUCUGGCGUCACAGUGGGGGUGGGGCUCGGUCUCCGUAGUGAGCAGUCUGUGCGGUCACUUCCGGCGUGGCUGGGUUGCUAGGUAACGCCGGCGGGCAGCAGGCGAGCGGCCCCGGCCCAAGUAUCCACCGCGCGGCCGCGCAAGCCACCGCCGGGCCGAGACAGGACGAGCCGAGACGAGCGCCUCCCCUGCGGGCACACGAGCGAGGGGCCGCGCGCGAGUCCCACGGGCGGUGCUGCGUCGCGCCGGGAGAGCCCGCCCCGAGCCAUGUCCCGGCCCGCGGCGGCCCAGCGCAGCGCCUUCCAGGAUGAGCUACAAGAAGCAGUUUUUGCUCGUGCAGCAAGACAGCAAACAGCUUACUACUCAGAUGACUUUGACACCGAUGAAGAUGGUACCGUGGAAGAACUUCCUGAAAGUAUAUCAGCUGUUGAAAAU